rnacentral:rRNA from 1 species
AUUGAACGCUGGCGGCAGGCCUAACACAUGCAAGUCGAGCGGAUGAAGGGAGCUUGCUCCUGGAUUCAGCGGCGGACGGGUGAGUAAUGCCUAGGAAUCUGCCUGGUAGUGGGGGAUAACGUCCGGAAACGGGCGCUAAUACCGCAUACGUCCUGAGGGAGAAAGUGGGGGAUCUUCGGACCUCACGCUAUCAGAUGAGCCUAGGUAGGAUUAGCUAGUUGGUGGGGUAAAGGCCUACCAAGGCGACGAUCCGUAACUGGUCUGAGAGGAUGAUCAGUCACACUGGAACUGAGACACGGUCCAGACUCCUACGGGAGGCAGCAGUGGGGAAUAUUGGACAAUGGGCGAAAGCCUGAUCCAGCCAUGCCGCGUGUGUGAAGAAGGUCUUCGGAUUGUAAAGCACUUUAAGUUGGGAAGAAGGGCAGUAAGUUAAUACCUUGCUGUUUUGACGUUACCAACAGAAUAAGCACCGGCUAACUUCGUG